rnacentral:rRNA from 1 species
UACGUAGGUGGCAAGCGUUGUCCGGAUUUACUGGGCGUAAAGCGAGCGCAGGCGGCAUGUUAAGUCUGCUGUAAAAUCUCUCGGCUCAACCGGGAGAAGCCAGCGGAUACUGGCAGGCUUGAGGCAAGCAGAGGAAGGUGGAAUUCCCGGUGUAGUGGUGAAAUGCGUAGAUAUCGGGAGGAACACCAGUGGCGAAGGCGGCCUUCUGGGCUUGUCCUGACGCUGAGGCUCGAAAGCGUGGGGAGCGAAC